rnacentral:lncRNA from 1 species
UUAUCUUGGGCCGCUCGGUUUAGUGGGGGCCUUCCUCUCCUCAUUUCUGUGUACCUGCAUUUACAAGGAAUGGUUGAGUAACGACCAAUCGGUGAGUAUUUCUUUAAAGGACUAUAGUGUAAGGGAUGGGUCCGAGGAAAUGCGGCUCUGAUACCAACUGUAACGGCCCCGGAAAAUAUUAAAAUGAAAUGAGUAUUUAAAUAUAUCGAAUGCGGAAGCGAGAUCAAAAUUUCAUUUAACAUCCCUUACACGAAAAACCAAAAACGUACUUAAAAUAUAAAAGAUUAAACUAACUAAGAAAGAAACUCGAAAAUAAAACUAUGCGUAUGACUACAGAGUCUCUAGGCAUCCCCUUCGUCGUCCUCCUGCGGAACGGGCUCGGGAACCAUGUCUUCCUGAUCUGAAAUGGUUAAUUAAGGAGUGAGCUACACUAGCCCAGUAAGAACAUCACGAUAUCUCACCGUCACGGAGAUAAAGGUGGGUAAAAAAAACCACAAAAAGACCAAUGGAGCAUAAUUUACAAUAAACUCGUUUAUUAACAACAAAACCUUUUAUCAAUAAUAAAACUUUGACCAUCCACUUACCUUGGUGGAAUUUAUGAAAACAAUAUGAGAAAAACAAUAACAUUAUCAUAAUCAUUGAAUAAUUUAAGCUGUAAAACAUAACACUUAUCACGCCUCUUGUAAUUCAAUCAUUGUACAACAUAUCUUUUUCUCAUUUACCAGCCUACUAGUAUCCGUGGGGGUCCAUAGGGGUUCCGCUACCCGUUAACCUUUAACAUUCAUAAUCAGUUUCCAGGACCGUCCCCAUACCCCGUCCGGUAUGGGCGCCAAAACCAUAAACCUCAAUACCCCGUCCGGUAUGAGGGUGAAACGGGCCGUCCCCAUACCCCGUCCGGUAUGGGCGCCAAAACCAUAAACCUCAAUACCCCGUCCGGUAUAAGGGUGAAACGGGCCGUCCCCAUACCCCGUCCGGUAUGGGCGCCAAAACCAUAAGAUCUCCAUACCCUGUCCGGCAUGUGAGACCACAAUCCCAGUAGGGUUCCCUACGGACCCGGUCCGUCCACCAUCUCCCAAGAUAUCUAGUCAGGCUGACCCCCAUAAUACAAUUAUCAGUC